CGCAGGGGGGAGCUACCAUGCAGUCGAGCGAGAACUUCGGUUCUAGCGGCGGACGGGUUAGUAACGCGUGGGAACGUGCCCUUCACUACGGAAUAGUCCCGGGAAACUGGGUUUAAUACCGUAUACGCCCUUCGGGGGAAAGAAUUUCGGUGAAGGAUCGGCCCGCGUUAGAUUAGAUAGUUGGUGGGGUAACGGCCUACCAAGUCUACGAUCUAUAGCUGGUUUUAGAGGAUGAUCAGCAACACUGGGACUGAGACACGGCCCAGACUCCUACGGGAGGCAGCAGUGGGGAAUCUUAGACAAUGGGCGCAAGCCUGAUCUAGCCAUGCCGCGUGAGUGAUGAAGGCCUUAGGGUCGUAAAGCUCUUUCGCCAGGGAUGAUAAUGACAGUACCUGGUAAAGAAACCCCGGCUAACUCCGUGCCAGCAGCCGCGGUAAUACGGAGGGGGUUAGCGUUGUUCGGAAUUACUGGGCGUAAAGCGCGCGUAGGCGGAUUGGAAAGUUGGGGGUGAAAUCCCAGGGCUCAACCCUGGAACUGCCUCCAAAACUAUCAGUCUAGAGUUCGAGAGAGGUGAGUGGAACUCCGAGUGUAGAGGUGAAAUUCGUAGAUAUUCGGAAGAACACCAGUGGCGAAGGCGGCUCACUGGCUCGAUACUGACGCUGAGGUGCGAAAGUGUGGGGAGCAAACAGGAUUAGAUACCCUGGUAGUCC
rnacentral:rRNA from 1 species